rnacentral:rRNA from 1 species
AGGAUGAACGCUAGCUACAGGCUUAACACAUGCAAGUCGAGGGGCAGCAUUUUAGUUUGCUUGCAAACUAAAGAUGGCGACCGGCGCACGGGUGAGUAACACGUAUCCAACCUGCCGAUAACUCAGGGAUAGCCUUUCGAAAGAAAGAUUAAUACCUGAUGGCAUAGGAUUAUCGCAUGAUAAUCCUAUUAAAGAAUUUCGGUUAUCGAUGGGGAUGCGUUCCAUUAGGCAGUUGGUGAGGUAACGGCUCACCAAACCUUCGAUGGAUAGGGGUUCUGAGAGGAAGGUCCCCCACAUUGGAACUGAGACACGGUCCAAACUCCUACGGGAGGCAGCAGUGAGGAAUAUUGGUCAAUGGACGGGAGUCUGAACCAGCCAAGUAGCGUGAAGGAUGACUGCCCUAUGGGUUGUAAACUUCUUUUAUACGGGAAUAAAGUGAUCCACGUGUGGGUUUUUGUAUGUACCGUAUGAAUAAGGAUCGGCUAACUCCGUGCCAGCAGCCGCGGUAAUACGGAGGAUCCGAGCGUUAUCCGGAUUUAUUGGGUUUAAAGGGAGCGUAGGUGGAUUGUUAAGUCAGUUGUGAAAGUUUGCGGCUCAACCGUAAAAUUGCAGUUGAUACUGGCAGUCUUGAGUACAGUAGAGGUGGGCGGAAUUCGUGGUGUAGCGGUGAAAUGCUUAGAUAUCACGAAGAACUCCGAUUGCGAAGG